UACAGAGGUCUCAAGCGUUUGUUCGGAUUCAUUGGGCGUAAAGGGUGCGUAGGUGGCGCGGUAAGUUGGGUGUGAAAUUUCGGAGCUUAACUCCGAAACUGCAUUCGAUACUGCCGUGCUUGAGGACUGGAGAGGAGACUGGAAUUUACGGUGUAGCAGUGAAAUGCGUAGAGAUCGUAAGGAAGACCAGUGGCGAAGGCGGGUCUCUGGACAGUUCCUGACACUGAGGCACGAAGGCCAGGGGAGCAAACGGG
rnacentral:rRNA from 1 species